CUGGAAGGUCGUGCAGGAUCGUGCCACGUUCCUCCUUCGCAAAAUGGAGAUUACUGCCUAAGAGAGUGAUUUUAUUCACGGGUAAAUAAUUAAAUCUGCUCAGUGAAAAAUAUGCAAAAUGCUUCCAUUCACAAGCACAUAUAUUUGCAUGUACAGGGCGGUAAUUAAAAAAAAAACCGUAGUGCGAUGUACGGCGUACGUAUACAUACACAUGCAACCAAUGAAAUGUACUGUUCUUUUUACACGAUCAAAUCAUAUAUCUAUUUAUUUGUUUUUACCUAGUGUACACUCUUCAUUUCCGAAAUUCGAGGGUGGUAAAAGAUGUAUAUAUGGCCACGUGCCUUCCAAAUGAAUAAUAUUAUAAGAGAAAUAAAGAG
rnacentral:lncRNA from 1 species